rnacentral:tRNA from 1 species
GGAAGGAUUCGCUAAUUAGGUAAGCGAGCAGAUUGCUAAUCUGUCGGCUCUGAAAUAUGGGUUUAUGGGUUCGAGUCCCAUUCCUUCCGCCA